rnacentral:rRNA from 1 species
GUAGGUGGCAAGCGUUGUCCGGAAUUAUUGGGCGUAAAGCGCGCGCAGGCGGUCCUUUAAGUCUGAUGUGAAAGCCCACGGCUCAACCGUGGAGGGUCAUUGGAAACUGGGGGACUUGAGUACAGAAGAGGAAAGCGGAAUUCCAAGUGUAGCGGUGAAAUGCGUAGAGAUUUGGAGGAACACCAGUGGCGAAGGCGGCUUUCUGGUCUGUAACUGACGCUGAGGCGCGAAAGCGUGGGGGGCAAACAGGAUUAGAUACCCUGGUAGUCCACGCCGUAAACGAUGAGUGCUAAGUGUUAGGGGUUUCCCGCCCCCCUUAGUGCUGCAGCUAACGCAUUAAGCACUCCGCCUGGGGAGUACGGCCGCAAGGCUG